CACAGCCCCACCCAUGCCUGCACAUAGCCCCACCCAUGCCUGCACAUAGUCCCACCCAUGCCUGCACAUAGUCCCAUGCCUGCGCAGGGCAAAGAUUUAUGUUUUGAUUUCUGUUCUUUAAAUCAGCACCUAAACAGAAGUGGCACUAGGGUGUUGCCCGCCAAAGUUCACCUUCUGGAAGCCCGGAAUAGGGUCAAAGGCCACACAUACAUCAGAGAAGCUGAACAGAGCAGCCCUGUCUUUCCAUAGUCCAUAGUUGGAAGUCAAUUUGGAGGAUUAGCCAGAGCAGGAAUGUUUUUGAAACAUACUCUAAGCACCUGCACUGGGCUGAGAUGAUGUCUUAAAAUCCACACUGAGGACAGGACAGAGCAGGGGACACAUGGUGAGUGCAGGGCCUUCAGAAUCCAAAAGGAAGAAACUAAAACUGAAACCUGACACGUAGACAUGGAGUGAAAUAUCCUCCAGCAGUAAGAAAUACCCAGUCUGUAGAAAGCAUGGAUGUUGUUGAAUACUCAUAACAAAACUAGGAUUUAAAGAAGCCAAAUGCACAAAUACUUUGUGUAAUCCCAACCAUGUGAAGUCUGGACAUAAAAGGAAUGUUUACUAGUAGGAGUCAGAAAGACCACUGGGGGUCUGAUCUGAUGGCAGAGAGUAUGCUGAUAGCUGCUAUCCUGACCUGGAUCCCAGAAAGCCAGCAUCAGGAUCCCAGAGAGCUCACUGCUCUACCAGAGAGCCAGCAUCAGGACGGGCGCCUAACGUUUCCUUUCUAAAUUCACCACACCAUCCAAUUCAUCUGUGGGAAUCUUGUGCACUUCACAGUAACUACACCAUGCUCCCCUCAAAGGUUUGCACGGCAUACCAGUGCUGCCCAAAUUAACCACCCCCCCAUACACACUGUGUUGAACAGCUAUGGUCCUUCACAAGAGCAGGAUCUUCCCAAGCAGGUCAUCAUGCAAGGGCCUGUCCCAGCACACAGUGCAAUCUCUGAAGCAUCAAAAUGUCCUUAGACCCAUGACUGGGAGAUCGUAUGCCUGUAUGGUGAGAAGUGUCCAGGCACAAGUGAGAGGAGACAGCACUGUGUACCCUGAGCAUCCGAGAACUGAUUCCCCUCAUAAACAGACGAUUUGUCACGACGCUGGUUCUGUAAUAGCAUUACAAUGGAAACACCAGAUACAAAACAGAUCGGAUCAUUGUAAAAAACUCCUCAGCGUUCCAGGGGAAAUGAAUCAGAAGAUAUUUUUCUGUGGACUAAUAUCUGUGAAGGACCAGACUGCAGUCUCCAUGACAACUUGGUGUCCUACAAAGUGGCUUUGGGCCUUCAGACAGUGGAUGCUCACAGGUAUCACAUUUCAUCAUAUUUAAAAGGGUAAAAGGGUUGGAGAGAUGGCUCAGCUGUUAAGAGCACUGACUGCUCUUCCGAAGGUUC